ensembl:lncRNA
GUUAAUUCAAUGUGUUGGAUUUCACAUAAGCAUUAGUAGAACUAGUAGAUUUAAGUUAAUGAAUUGGCUAGGCUGUAUAGAUUUCGGUAACUGUAUUGUACUGUAAGUGCUCUUGACAGCCUGAUUCAAGUACAUGUAAUGAUGAAGACAAAUAAUGUAAUGUUAAUGUGCAAUAUUUACAUCAAAAUCUAAUUCAUUUCAUCUCAGACUUGAAUAGGUUACAGAGGAUGACUAAAGUAAGGCUGAGGAGUCUGUCAGUGUGAUGAGCUUUCUAUACACAUCUUCAAACACUACCAUGUGCCAAAAAAUUAUCACUCAUCAUAAUGACAGUUCAUACACAGCUGGCUGUUGCCUAUAAUAUGACAGUCAAUAUGAGUAAGUGAUUAAUUAAUUUAAAAAAACAUACAGGAUGAUGAUGUGUUGUCAUUGCUCGAGGAGGCAACUACCAUGGACCCUCAAUUCAAGGCAAAGGUGGCAGAGUGAAGUCUGGGAUUGAGUAGUCGAGACAGCAGUGAAGGAAGUACUCAUUUAAUAGUUUCUUUCAGAAUAUGAGCAAUGUUUACUAUGAGAUGUUUUAUCUUUAAUGUUGAAUGAAUGUAAUAAUGUACAUGACAUUAAUGAAGUCAUGUCUGUCUCAGUUGUCAGAAAAGGCUGACGAGGUAAUGGGAGUAUUGGAUCAGCAACAGACCCAAGAUUGAGAAGAGCAGGAAAAGGAGGAGGAGGACUACUUCAGAAACAAAGACUCUGCACUAGAGGAAUUAUUCAGAGGACAGAGAGCUGAAGAGACUCCUCAUUCAACAACAACAUACUACACCGAGAAGAUGAAGAGUGAAGUGUCAGUCUACAGAGCCUUGCCUCACAUCCCCAUGUACGAAGACCCUGUUUUCUGGUGGUGGGAUAAGAAAGACACUCUCACAGUGUGUUCAGACUUCCUCACCUCAGUGCGAAAGUGUGUUCUCGACAGCCAGGGACACUCUCUAUAAGGAGAGAUCAUGCCUGCUCCCUGAAAAAGUCUCAAUAUGUUAAUCUUCUUAAAUACAAAUACCUAGAGAUGCCAGAAUUCUCUAUUAUAUUCUGUUGUGCUCCUGUGCACCUGCUUUUCAAAUAUGUUGUGCUGUGGAAUGCUAAGGAAAUCUCUCUUUCUCUCUCUCUCUCUUUGAAAAAUAACGUGAAAUUUUUAACAUCUUUUCACAUCAUCUUUUUGCACCAAAUUUAGAGAUUAGUACCAAUGAGCAGUAUCGGUAUCUGUAUCGGUACCGAUAAAAUGUAAAUGAUACCCAUCCCUACUUAUAUAUCUUAUUUAAUUGUA